UACGUAGGGUCCGAGCGUUGUCCGGAAUUAUUGGGCGUAAAGGGCUCGUAGGCGGCCAACUAAGUCAGACGUGAAAUCCCUCGGCUUAACCGGGGAACUGCAUCUGAUACUGGAUGGCUUGAGUUCGGGAGAGGGAUGCGGGAUUCCAGGUGUAGCGGUGAAAUGCGUAGAUAUCUGGAGGAACACCGGUGGCGAAGGCGGCAUCCUGGACCGACACUGACGCUGAGGAGCGAAAGCCAGGGGAGCAAAGC
rnacentral:rRNA from 1 species